UGGUGGAGUGAUUUGUCUGGUUAAUUCCGUUAACGAACGAGACCUUAACCUGCUAAAUAGUUGCACGAAACUUAUGUUUCGUGAUUAACUUCUUAGAGGGACUUUGCGAGUUUAUCGCAAGGAAGUUUGAGGCAAUAACA
rnacentral:rRNA from 1 species